UUUCUAUGGAGUUAAUCAUAGCUAAAGAAUAAAAGCUGAGCGAAUCGAUAAAACAGCUUUUGAUUAUAUACUGGUUCUAUCUAGUUUUCAGAGAUUGUGAGCGCUUUAAAAAGCGUUUUUGAUUUCUGAGAAUCGUUCUUUGAAAACUGAAUAUUAGAUGAAAAAAGACAUUUUAAUUUUUCUUACGUUUCAUAAAUAACGUAAAACAGUAACUUAAAAAUUACUAAGAAAAACUGAAAUUUCAUAUUUAUUAGAUUAUCUAUAAUGCAAAA
rnacentral:misc_RNA from 1 species